ACUUGUGGGUAGCGGUGAAAUUCCAAUCGAGCCCGGAGAUAGCUGGUUCUCCCCGAAAUAGCUUUAGGGCUAGCCUCAAGGUGAGAGAUACGGAGGUAGAGCGCUGAAUGUCCUAGGGGGUAUUGCACCUACCGAAGACUAUCAAACUCCGAAUGCCGUCAUUUUAUACUUGGGAGUCAGACUGUGGGUGAUAAGAUUCAUAGUCGAAAGGGCAACAGCCCAGAUCGUCAGCUAAGGUCCCUAAAUGUAAGUUAAGUGGUAAAGG
rnacentral:rRNA from 1 species